UUUAAAUAAGUAGUCAUAAUAAUGGCCAUUUUUAUUGCUACCUGUAGUUGUUUUAAGGAGAUAUGGAGUAAAUAUGUGUUUGUGGCUAGAAGAAACUCAACCAACCAAAUUUUUGAAAACUUGUAUCAUGCAUGGCCCUCUGUAAAAUAUACACCAGAAAAAGGGGUGGUGUUAAUAUAAGAGAACAAAUAACAGAGAAGGAGAAAAACAAAGGAUCUUAGGUUAAUCGAUCUCUGAAAAUCUGAAAGUGAUUUUGUCACUAUUAUAAAUCAACAUACAGGAUUUCUUUAAUCACUGGUUAAAAACCAUAUGUCAAAACCAUGAUUAAAAGGUAA
rnacentral:lncRNA from 1 species